rnacentral:lncRNA from 1 species
CCAUUAUUUUUUUUACUUGCUUUCUUACUGACAGCAACCAGGAAUUUUUUUAUCCUGCAGAGCAAGUUUUCAAAAUGUAAAUACUUUCUGUGUUUAACAGCCCUUGGCCCAUUCUGAUCCAGUUCACCAGUAGGUUGGACAGCAUAUAAUUUGCAUCAUUUUGUCCCUUGUAAAUCAAGAUGUUCUGCAGAUUAUUCCUUUAACGGCCGGACUUUUGGCUAUUUCCUAAUGAAACAUGUACAUUAGUGGUUAUUAUUUAGAGUUUAUAGCCCUAUUGCUAGCACCUUGUAGUAUGUCAUCAUUCUGCUCAUGAUUCCAAGGAUCAGCCUGGAUGCCUAGAGGACUAGAUCGCCUUAGUUUGAUUCUAUUUUUUAGCUUGCAAAAAGUGACUUAUAUUCCAAAGAAAUUAAAAUGUUGAAAUCCAAAUCCUAGAAAUAAAAUGAGUUAACUUCAAAAAAAAAAAAAAAAAAAAAAGAUGGCUAAAUUGGAAGAAGGAAAAGGAAACCAAUCUUCCAUGCCCUCCAGCUUUGUUC